AACGAACGCUGGCGGCAGGCCUAACACAUGCAAGUCGGACGAGAAGGUUCCUUCGGGAACUGGAGAGUGGCGCACGGGUGAGUAACGCGUGGGGACCUACCUCUUAGUGGGGGAUAACGGUUGGAAACGACCGCUAAUACCGCAUACGCCUUCGGGAAGAUUAUCGCUAGAGAUGACCGCGUUGGAUUAGAUAGUUGGUGAGGUAAUGGCUCACCAAGUCAGCGAUCCAUAGCUGGUUUGAGAGGAUGAUCAGCCACACUGGACUGAGACACGGCCCAGACUCCUACGGGAGG
rnacentral:rRNA from 1 species